UACGUAGGUGGCAAGCGUUGUCCGGAAUUAUUGGGCGUAAAGCGCGCGCAGGCGGUCCUUUAAGUCUGAUGUGAAAGCCCACGGCUCAACCGUGGAGGGUCAUUGGAAACUGGGGGACUUGAGUACAGAAGAGAAGAGUGGAAUUCCACGUGUAGCGGUGAAAUGCGUAGAGAUGUGGAGGAACACCAGUGGCGAAGGCGACUCUUUGGUCUGUAACUGACGCUGAGGCGCGAAAGCGUGGGGAGCAAGACGG
rnacentral:rRNA from 1 species